CGGAGUCCUAACCACUGGACCGCCAGGGAAUUCCCAUGAUCUGAGUUAAGAAAACAAACUCUCUUAGGCUCUGUGUGGGAAAUAGUUGGUAGGAGACUAGGUUAAGGGCAAAAGCAAGGAGGCCAGUUAGCAGGCUAUUGCUGUCCUUUCUGAUGAGAUGAUGGUGGCCUGGGCUAGAGUUGCAGCAGCAGAAGAACGGGAGAAUGGGAAGUGGAUAGAUUUAAGACAUUUUGGAGUUAGAGCUGACAAAACUUUGCUGAUAGACUGAGUGUGGAGAUUGAGGGAGAGGAAACAAAAAAUGACUCAGUUUCUCCUAGUGCAACUGGGAGGAUGCUUGGGUCAUUUACUGAGAUGGGCAAGACUGGGCAGACACAGGUUUUGGGUUAGGAUGUGUACGAAGAAAUGAAGAGUUCUGUAUUGAGUUACAGACGGUCGAUAGGUACCCAAGGGGAGGUGCCCCAUAGACAGUGGAACUAUGUGUCUGUGACUCCAGGGGUUGGGAGGGGGGUUCUAUGCUGGAAACGUGAAUUGGGAAAUCUUUAACCUAUAACGCAGCACUGUCCAAUAGAACUAGAAAGCGAGCCACGUGAUUAAAAUUUUCCCAGGAGCCACAUGAAAAAAGUAAAAAGAAACAGAUGAAACUAACUUAAAUAAUAUACUCAUUUAAACCAAGAAAUCCCAAAUAUUAUCUCAGCACGUAGUCAAUAUAAAAAUUAUCGAGGAGAUAGCUGGCAUUCUUUCUUCGACAUCCGGUGUGUAUUUUACAUUUAGAACACAUUUAACUCGCACUCGCCACAUUUCAAGCGCUCAGUUGCCACCUGCCGGCUAGGGGUUACCGCUUGGUUCAGCUCACCAGUGGAGGGUUUUCAAAGCCAGGAGCUUGGACCCACCCGGACAGUAGAGAAGACGCACUUCCGCCGGACGGAGCGCCCCGGACGGAAAUUGGAGGCGGAACGGAAGUUGCGUGUGUGCGUGCGCAGCCGCAGACAGCCGAGCCGGGAGCUUCCCUACUGAGAGGAGCUUACGCGGCUGGACGCCAGGCUUUCGGGCAGCGUCUUUGGGCUGUUUUAGUGCCAUGCAUCCUUUACAGUGUGUCCUCCAAGCACAGAGAUGUCUGAGGUGGGGGCCCUUGACCUCUGUGUCCUGGCUGCUGCUUAGGACCUGCAGGGCACACAGUGGUGUCCGCAGCUCUGCAGGUCCCAGUCCAGAGAGGCGGCAGGAGGAUGGAGUUUGGAAGGAUUUCAGCUCCAGGCUGGCCACUGGACCGACUUUUCAGCAUUUUUUAAGAAGUGCUUCAGUUCCUCAAGAGAAACCAUCUACUCCAGAUGUGGAGGACCCACCCCCAUAUCUCACAGUGGAUGAUCUUUUAGGAAGGCAGAGAAGAGUCUAUCUUGAGACCUAUGGCUGCCAGAUGAAUGUGAAUGACACAGAGAUAGCCUGGUCCAUCUUACAGAAGAGUGGCUACCUCCGGACCAGUAACCUUCAGGAGGUACACACAUUUCCUGCUUCCCCUUGUUUCCUGGGCGAGAUUCUGCAUGUGUGCCAGUUCUUGGGUGGAGUUUCAUGAGCAGGCUGUGGCCUAGUGAGAGUGAGUUCCCUUGAGGAAAGUGCAGUGUGGGACUGAGCUGUACUUUUGUUGCAGUUAUUUUUGAAACUUUUAAGGUAGUGCUCACCUUCAGGCAAGGAACUAGGUUAAAAAUGGGCCGUGAUAGGCUUCCCUGGUGGCGCAGUGGUUGAGAGUCCGCCUGCCAAUGCAGGGGACAUGAGUU